rnacentral:rRNA from 1 species
UGGGGAAUAUUGGACAAUGGGGGCAACCCUGAUCCAGCCAUGCCGCGUGAGUGAUGAAGGCCUUCGGGUUGUAAAGCUCUUUUGGCGGGGACGAUGAUGACGGUACCCGCAGAAUAAGCCCCGGCUAACUUCGUGCCAGCAGCCGCGGUAAGACGAAGGGGGCUAGCGUUGUUCGGAAUUACUGGGCGUAAAGCGAGUGUAGGCGGUUGCCGUAGUCAGGUGUGAAAGCCUUGAGCUCAACUCAAGAAAUGCACUUGAUACUGGGUGACUAGAGGACCGGAGAGGAUAGUGGAAUUCCCAGUGUAGUGGUGAAAUACGUAGAGAUUGGGAAGAACACCAGUGGCGAAGGCGGCUAUCUGGACGGUUACUGACGCUAAGACUCGAAAGCGUGGGGAGCAAACAGGAUUAGAUACCCUGGUAGUCCACGCCGUAAAACGAUGGGUGCUAGACGUUGGCGAGCUUGCUCGUCAGUGUCGCAGCUAACGCG